rnacentral:rRNA from 1 species
ACUCCUACGGGAGGCAGCAGUUAGGAAUAUUCGGCAAUGGGGGAAACCCUGACCGAGCGACACUGCGUGAAGGAGGAAGGCCUUAGGGUUGUAAAACUUCUGAACGAGAGACGAUAAUGACGGUAUCUCGGUAAUAGCACCGGCUAACUCCGUGCCAGCAGCCGCGGUAAUACGGAGGGUGCGAGCGUUAAUCGGAAUUACUGGGCGUAAAGCGCAUGCAGGUGGUUUGUUAAGUCAGAUGUGAAAGCCCGGGGCUCAACCUCGGAACUGCAUUUGAAACUGGCAGACUAGAGUACUGUAGAGGGGGUAGAAUUUCAGGUGUAGCGGUGAAAUGCGUAGAGAUCUGAAGGAAUACCGGUGGCGAAGGCGGCCCCCUGGACAGAUACUGACACUCAGAUGCGAAAGCGUGGGGAGCAAACAGGAUUAGAUACCCUGGUAGACUGUC